CCAGGUGACAAUGGGGACUGUGGUUUCCCCAGACCCUCACACCAGGUGACAGUGACCCACCACAGCAGGUCCUGACACUGGGGACUCUCCCACCUGCCCAGAACCUAGGCGUCACCAGACUCAGGGUCACCUGCUGCAUCCCUAAGCUGGCUCCUCCCGGUCACUGAACAAGUCUGGGGUACAGACCGGGAGGCCCAGGGUUCUGCCCCCCCAAUCUCUCUGUCCCUGGCCACACACCUGGGGGGUCCCGCGAGGCCAGCACCUGCUCCUCUGAUCUUGCCUGUCUUCACAGCCAAGGGGCCACCUGGGAAGGAGAGGACGAGGACGUGUGUGACCCGGUCCACCCCAGCAGGUUGCCAGGAAUGCAGAAGGUCCAGCGCCGAGUGCUGAGGUGGCGGACAUUCUGAGCACCUGAGGCAUGUCCCUGAGGGGGUGGCACCACACCUGUGACGGUGGCGUCCCCCUGCGAGAUGACCCGUCCCUGUGGCCACAGGCUGGUGCGUGGGGACCCUCUGGCUUUGCAGGGUGAACAAGGGGCCAACUGUCCCUGGUGGGCUGGUGACAGUGCUGCUGACCAGCGGUUUCCAGGGGCAGACCGGGGUCAGAGGACGGCUGGUGCAGGGCCUCCAUGACAAUGACCACCAACCUGGGAUGAGGGUCUACCAAGCCUCCGAGUCCAGCGCCCCAGCCCCGGAGGGCACAGGCUGGACCAGGGUCCCAGAUUUCCCUGUGCCACCCUGACUUAGCAGAUGUGCAUGUGCCACCCAGUUUAGCAGAGGUCCCCGUGUCACCUGACUUUGCAGAUCUGGGUGCAUCUCCAAGACAAGUCUGCACAGACCCUCCUCCUCUGAAGCCGUGCUGAAGCAGCAGGAGCCUGGACCCGCAGGGUGAAUCAGAAACCGCCAGACAGAAGGCUCCCAGGGGCGGAUCCAGAGCCCCGCGUUGGCUGUUUCAGACUCCCCCGGGACUAGGGGACGUGAUGCUUCCUCGUGGGGUCUCAGGCAGGACAACAAAUUGGCUCCAGAUGGUUACUAACAACCUCUGGGCUGCUAAUCCUCCUCCAGCUGCGGGUCUGGGGAGCAUCCUCCAAGUGGUGCUAUGUCCCAUGGAGGUCUGGGCUGUCUGCAGUGGUGCUGGGUGCUGAGUCUCA